rnacentral:rRNA from 1 species
GUUGUUGCAGUUAAAAAGCUCGUAGUUGAACUUCGGGGUUUACCCAUUGGUCAGGCUUAAUUGUCUGUACUGGUGAGAUGAAUCUCUACCUUCUGAGGAACUUUCAUGCCAUUUAGUUGGUGUGAUAGGAAAUCAGGACUGUUACUUUGAAAAAAUUAGAGUGUUUAAAGCAGGCUAACGUCUGAAUACAUUAGCAUGGAAUAAUGAAAUAGGACGGAUUGGUUCUAUUUCGUUGGUUUCUAGGAUCACCGUAAUGAUUAAUAGGGAUAGUUGGGGGCAUUAGUAUUCAAUUGUCAGAGGUGAAAUUCUUGGAUUUAUUGAAGACUAACUAUUGCGAAAGCAUUUGCCAAGGAUGUUUUCAUUAAUCAAGAACGAAAGUUAGGGGAUCGAAGACGAUCAGAUACCGUCGUAGUCUUAACCAUAAACUAUGCCGACUAGGGAUCGGACGAAGUUAAUUUUAUAAUGACGCGUUCGGCGCCUUACGGGAAAC